rnacentral:rRNA from 1 species
AUUGAACGCUGGCGGCAUGCCUUACACAUGCAAGUCGAACGGCAGCACGGGUGCUUGCACCUGGUGGCGAGUGGCGAACGGGUGAGUAAUACAUCGGAACGUACCUUAUCGUGGGGGAUAACGCAGCGAAAGCUGUGCUAAUACCGCAUACGCCCUGAGGGGGAAAGCGGGGGAUCGCAAGACCUCGCGCGAUUAGAGCGGCCGAUGCCUGAUUAGCUUGUUGGUGGGGUAAAAGCCCACCAAGGCGACGAUCAGUAGCUGGUCUGAGAGGACGAUCGGCCACACUGGGACUGGGACACGGCCCAGACUCCUACGGGAGGCAGCAGUGGGGAAUUUUGGACAAUGGGGGCAACCCUGAUCCAGCAGUGCCGCGUGAGUGAAGAAGGCCUUCGGGUUGUAAAGCUCUUUUGUCAGGGAAGAAACACCGGCUCUAACACAGUCCGGGAAUGACGGUACCUGAAGAAUAAGCACCGGCUAACUACGUGCCAGCAGCCGCCGUAA